rnacentral:lncRNA from 7 species
GAUCAGCAAAGAAAGUCUGAUGAUUCAACAUGUAGUCGGUUGCUCUCACGUUCACACCAAAGGUACCGAACUUAUAUGGAAGACCCUAAGUGGUAAGACCCAUGCCUACUGGAAAUGGAAUCUUCUGCUUCUGGGAACUUCUCUGCUCCACAAACAGUCACGCCCUGGAUCUGCAGACUGCCAUCAACACCUGCUCUCCUGCAGUGCCUGGUGCUCCAGAAACCCCAGGCUGCCCGUUGUGAGGCCAGGGAUGCGCAGCUUUCCCAGAGCCAGGCAUUUUACAUUGUUUGUAGUCUGCAUUUUGGAGUCAUUACUCAGUGGUACAAGAGAUGCAAUUGUCACUGCGGUUGGAAGCCAAUCAACGCGUUGUGAGUGGGAGCCCGCUGGUACUUUCCAAUGGUCCUUGAUUAAAAAGGAAGCUCUUGGCUAUCUUCAAGCAGCAGGAGAGGAAACAGCACGGAGAAGUUGCAGAAGUGUACAACUGGAAUCCAGAGCAAAGCAACUGACAAGGACCAGGAAGUAGAAGGAGCAGCCAGGACUUUGGUACAAGCAGAAAUACAGGCAGCAAUACAGUCACUUACGCUGGCAUCGUGGAGAUAGAGAAAGGCCAGUUACUCAGGGUCUGUACCCGCAUGGCCAUGUUAUGCUCUUGGAUUACCAUAGGCAGAUGGUGUCCAGCCUCAGGACUUGGAGGACUGGGAGAAGGCAGCAAAAUGCUUCUGCUCUGGUGAUCAGCGACGAUGUGGUGGCCGCAGAUGUCAGCUGAGAGUUGUUUUAUAAAAUGAAUCUCUGUAAGCUGCUGCUCUACGGGGAUCAACAAGAACAGAAGAGCCGUGAAUUCAAGGCCACCUUGGGAUGAUUUUUCUAGGACAUGGAGUCUCUGCAGUGCCAAGGGACCUCCAUUAGCCCAAACAGCUAAAGCAUUCCAUCUAGAGUCCCUGCUCUAAUGUAGGCUGGUACAUGUCUCGAAACGCAUAAGAAUUCAGGACUUUUAUCUGUAGGAAUGUAUCAAGCUGAACUUGAUGCUAUUGCCUCAGCAGUAGUUACAUGGAACUGAGGAAAGAGGGAAGCUGCUAUGUGUCAUCUACUUAUGGAAGUAAACGUCCUUUGAUUUCACAUCUUCUGAAGGAGCGAUGACCUUUAAAAUCAUGAAGCUACAUUCAGAAGUUCUUACCCUAAGACUGCGUGUGAGCUAGUACCACUGAAAUCAAUGGGAGUCCUUUCAGUGUUUCAAAAUCGGCUUUUAUUCAAAAUCAGGAAUUUUUCCCCCUCUUCCUUUAAGGAAAAAAAAGACCCAAGUUUUUUGUUUUCCAACCCAUGUGUUAACUUGUCAGAUCAGUUGUCAGGCUGAGGUAGAAGCUGAAAGCUUAAUCAUUGUGCUUCUUAUUUUUUAUUUAGAAUUGUAUUUAUUUACUCUUUGUUUCGUCGAGUCUGUUAUCUUAGCAAGAGGAAUUCAUCUUCCAGCAGGGUUAGAAACUUCUCUUCUAAUGUCAAAUUUGCCAUUGCAAACACCUACACUUACCAUGAGUUCUCCCUUACUGCACAUCUGCUGUGCUGCUCUGUCACCCUCUGUCUCUAUUUUGAAUUCUAGUAGC